AGAGCUUGACUCUCCUUAAGGCACCAUCAAGACCAGGUGGUUGAUAGGUCAGGUGUGGAAGCGCAGCAAUGCGUUCAGCUAACUGAUACUAAUGAGCCGUGCGGCUUGACCAUAUAACCCCAAG
rnacentral:rRNA from 1 species